UCGAGGAUCUUCGGCAAUGCGCGCAAGCGCGACCGAGCGACGCCGCGUGGGCGAUGAAGGCCUUCGGGUUGUAAAGCCCUGUCGAGGGGGAGAAAAGCGGGCAACCGUGUGAUCUAUCCCUGGAGGAAGCUCGGGCUAAGUUCGUGCCAGCAGCCGCGGUAAGACGAACCGAGCGAACGUUGUUCGGAAUCACUGGGCUUAAAGGGCGCGUAGGCGGGCUGCCAAGUUUGGGGUGAAAUCCUCCGGCUCAACCGGGGAAGGGCCUUGAAUACUGGCGGUCUGGAGGGGGGUAGGGGCGUGCGGAACUAACGGUGGAGCGGUGAAAUGCGUUGAUAUCGUUAGGAACUCCGGUGGCGAAGGCGGCACGCUGGACCCUCACUGACGCUGAGGCGCGAAAGCCAGGGGAGCGAACG
rnacentral:rRNA from 1 species